rnacentral:rRNA from 1 species
GGGUUGUGAGGUUAAGCGACUAAGCGUACACGGUGGAUGCCCUGGCAGUCAGAGGCGAUGAAGGACGUGCUAAUCUGCGAUAAGCGUCGGUAAGGUGAUAUGAACCGUUAUAACCGGCGAUUUCCGAAUGGGGAAACCCAGUGUGUUUCGACACACUAUCAUUAACUGAAUCCAUAGGUUAAUGAGGCGAACCGGGGGAACUGAAACAUCUAAGUACCCCGAGGAAAAGAAAUCAACCGAGAUUCCCCCAGUAGCGGCGAGCGAACGGGGAGGAGCCCAGAGCC